CGGCGGACGGGUGAGUAACACGUGGAUAACCUACCUAUAAGACUGGGAUAACUUCGGGAAACCGGAGCUAAUACCGGAUAAUAUAUUGAACCGCAUGGUUCAAUAGUGAAAGACGGUUUUGCUGUCACUUAUAGAUGGAUCCGCGCCGCAUUAGCUAGUUGGUAAGGUAACGGCUUACCAAGGCAACGAUGCGUAGCCGACCCGAGAGGGUGAUCGGCCACACUGGAACUGAGACACGGUCCAGACUCCUACGGGAGGCAGCAGGC
rnacentral:rRNA from 1 species